rnacentral:rRNA from 1 species
ACAGAGGGGGCAAGCGUUGUUCGGAAUUACUGGGCGUAAAGGGCUCGUAGGCGGCCAACUAAGUCGGACGUGAAAUCCCCAGGCUCAACCUGGGAACUGCGUCUGAUACUGGAUGGCUUGAAUCCGGGAGAGGGAUGCAGAAUUCCAGGUGUAGCGGUGAAAUGCGUAGAUAUCAGGAGGAACACCGGUGGCGAAGGCGCUCAUCUGGCCCAAUACUGACGCUGAGGCGCGAAAGCUAGGGGAGCAAACGGGA